GGCGAGGCCGCGAGGCGGAGCAAAGCCCAAAAAAGGAGCCCCAGUUCGGACUGCAGCCUGNAACCCGGCUGCACGAAGCCGGAAUCGCUAGUAAUCGCGAAUCAGAAUGUCGCGGUGAAUACGUUCCCGGGUCUUGUACACACCGCCCGUCACACCAUGGGAGCCGGAAAUGCCCGAAGUCAGUGGCCCCAACCUCCAAAGGAGGGAGCUGCCGAAGGUGGAGCUGGUAACUGGGGUGAAGUCGUAACAAGGUAGC
rnacentral:rRNA from 1 species